rnacentral:pre_miRNA from 1 species
CAGCCUCAGUAAAUAUUCACAUUCGUUAUAUAGAAAAAAGAUACAUUGGAAGUGAAUGGUGACUGAGGCUG